UACGGGGGGGGCAAGCGUUGUUCGGAAUUACUGGGCGUAAAGGGCGCGUAGGCGGCCUUCUAAGUCGGACGUGAAAUCCCUCGGCUUAACCGAGGAACUGCGUCCGAUACUGAAAGGCUUGAAUCCGGGAGAGGGAUGUGGAAUUCCAGGUGUAGCGGUGAAAUGCGUAGAUAUCUGGAGGAACACCGGUGGCGAAGGCGGCAUCCUGGACCGGUAUUGACGCUGAGGCGCGAAAGCUAGGGGAGCAACGGG
rnacentral:rRNA from 1 species